rnacentral:rRNA from 1 species
GACGAGGCACUACGGUGCUGAAGCAACAAAUGCCCUGCUUCCAGGAAAAGCCUCUAAGCAUCAGGUAACAUCAAAUCGUACCCCAAACCGACACAGGUGGUCAGGUAGAGAAUACCAAGGCGCUUGAGAGAACUCGGGUGAAGGAACUAGGCAAAAUGGUGCCGUAACUUCGGGAGAAGGCACGCUGACACGUAGGUGAAGUGAUUUACUCAUGGAGCUGAAGUCAGUCGAAGAUACCAGCUGGCUGCAACUGUUUAUUAAAAACACAGCACUGUGCAAACACGAAAGUGGACGUAUACGGUGUGACGCCUGCCCGGUGCCGGAAGGUUAAUUGAUGGGGUCAGCGUAAGCGAAGCUCCUGAUCGAAGCCCCGGUAAACGGCGGCCGUAACUAUAACGGUCCUAAGGUAGCGAAAUUCCUUGUCGGGUAAGUUCCGACCUGCACGAAUGGCGUAAUGAUGGCCAGGCUGUCUCCACCCGAGACUCAGUGAAAUUGAACUCGCUGUGAAGAUGCAGUGUACCCGCGGCAAGACGGAAAGACCCCGUGAACCUUUACUAUAGCUUGACACUGAACAUUGAGCCUUGAUGUGUAGGAUAGGUGGGAGGCUUUGAAGUGUGGACGCCAGUCUGCAUGGAGCCGACCUUGAAAUACCACCCUUUAAUGUUUGAUGUUCUAACGUGGACCCGUAAUCCGGGUUGCGGACAGUGUCUGGUGGGUAGUUUGACUGGGGCGGUCUCCUCCUAAAGAGUAACGGAGGAGCACGAAGGUUGGCUAAUCCUGGUCGGACAUCAGGAGGUUAGUGCAAUGGCAUAAGCCAGCUUGACUGCGAGCGUGACGGCGCGAGCAGGUGCGAAAGCAGGUCAUAGUGAUCCGGUGGUUCUGAAUGGAAGGGCCAUCGCUCAACGGAUAAAAGGUACUCCGGGGAUAACAGGCUGAUACCGCCCAAGAGUUCAUAUCGACGGCGGUGUUUGGCACCUCGAUGUCGGCUCAUCACAUCCUGGGGCUGAAGUAGGUCCCAAGGGUAUGGCUGUUCGCCAUUUAAAGUGGUACGCGAGCUGGGUUUAGAACGUCGUGAGACAGUUCGGUCCCUAUCUGCCGUGGGCGCUGGAGAACUGAGGGGGGCUGCUCCUAGUACGAGAGGACCGGAGUGGACGCAUCACUGGUGUUCGGGUUGUCAUGCCAAUGGCACUGCCCGGUAGCUAAAUGCGGAAGAGAUAAGUGCUGAAAGCAUCUAAGCACGAAACUUGCCCCGAGAUGAGUUCUCCCUGAGACUUAGAGUCUCCUGAAGGAACGUUGAAGACGACGACGUUGAUAGGCCGGGUGUGUAAGCGCAGCGAUGCGUUGAGCUAACCGGUACUAAUGAACCGUGAGGCUUAACCUU